ensembl:lncRNA
CAGAGCAACAGGAAUCAAGUUUUUGGAAUCAAGCCACAAAGAUUCAAUUUCAAACAUGAGGUCUUUUAAAACAUACCUGCAGACAAAGUAAACAUCACACCACCACACACGUGGCAAGCGCAACAACGAGCCAAGUUCCACCCCUGGCCUGCAGUGACCCGUUCCUGCUGGGCUUCCCUCCCUUUCUCCGAUUCAUCCUACAUGUGGGCCAUCCUUUCUUUCUUGUACUAUUUCCCUUUGUUUUUAACUUUCUCUACCCCUUGUCGCACGUCAAACACACAGAGUCUCUUCCUGCACCCAUCCGACAGGAACGUUCGGUAUGGGACAGCAGGACACAGGGGUGUAACCAUUAAGGGCACGAAACGCCUUUGCUUUUUUUGCCAAGCAGCACACAAAUGCUCGCAGGCUUUUGAUUUCUGAUAGGCCGGAGAAAUGCCUGUGCAUCAGCACUCUUGAAAUGAAGUGCAGAUUCAGCUCUCUGCAGGGACUGCGCUUUCAGAGGACAGAACCUGAAACACAGCACAGGUUGUGGGCGUAUUGUGGUCAAGAGGCCAGCGAGAGGAGCCGGGGACUGUUUGUGUAUGUGUUAAGACGACGUCAGAGGAACAGGUCAGUCUCAAUUUUGCUGGGGCUUUACACGAUGUCAGCACAGAGUGUGUCAAUGUCCCACCCCUGCACUGACUCACUGUUUCAGUCUGACAAACACGCGCACACCCUCUUAAGCCUUCACACACACCAUGGCCUCUCGCUUAACAGAUCUACCACAAUGCACAAGCAUCACCAAGUGCGAAAGCCAUCAAAAUCAGAGAUCCGAGCUGGAGGAAACCCAGGACUACUGCUUCUCCAUCACUCAGCCAGACACGGAGCAGAUGCUGAGGGCACCUGUGCGGGUAAAGCUGUCACAGAAGUCUUCAAACAAUCUGGAAGGGUGUAGCAUAUGGACAAGUGGAUGACCACAGACACCUAAUUGUACUUGAAUCACAUGAUUGGCCAAAAAAUCGAGAGAGAAACCAUUAGAUGCUUGUUGUCUACAGGAGCACCCCUUUAAGUGACAUUCCCAGGAUUCCUAGCAGCUGGUGGAAAGGUACUCCGCGGUGACCCCUGCGACCCUUGCACAUUGAUAUCCGAGACAAAGUGUCUUUACCUUUCUCUGAGGUUACAGUCGAAUAAACAGUCCUCGGGCCACA